AUUGAACGCUGGCGGCAGGCUUAACACAUGCAAGUCGAGCGGAGAUGAGGUGCUUGCACCUUACCUUAGCGGCGGACGGGUGAGUAAUGCUUAGGAAUCUGCCUAUUAGUGGGGGACAACAUUCCGAAAGGAAUGCUAAUACCGCAUACGUCCUACGGGAGAAAGCAGGGGAUCUUCGGACCUUGCGCUAAUAGAUGAGCCCAAGUCGGAUUAGCUAGUUGGUGGGGUAAAGGCCUACCAAGGCGACGAUCUGUAGCGGGUCUGAGAGGAUGAUCCGCCACACUGGGACUGAGACACGGCCCAGACUCCUACGGGAGGCAGCAGUGGGGAAUAUUGGACAAUGGGGGGAACCCUGAUCCAGCCAUGCCGCGUGUGCGAAGAAGGCCUUAUGGUUGUAAAGCACUUUAAGCGAGGAGGAGGCUACUGAGACUAAUACUCUUGGAUAGUGGACGUUACUCGCAGAAUAAGCACCGGCUAACCCUGUGCCAGCCGCCGCCGUAACAC
rnacentral:rRNA from 1 species